rnacentral:rRNA from 1 species
UGGCGAACGGGUGAGUAAUACAUCGGAACGUGUCCAGUAGUGGGGGAUAACCCGGCGAAAGCCGGACUAAUACCGCGUACGACCUACGGGUGAAAGCGGGGGAUCGCAAGACCUCGCGCUAUUGGAGCGGCCGAUGGCAGAUUAGCUUGUUGGUGGGGUAAAAGCCUACCAAGGCGACGAUCUGUAGCUGGUCUGAGAGGACGACCAGCCACACUGGGACUGAGACACGGCCCAG